rnacentral:piRNA from 1 species
GGUACAGCUGAUGCAGAUGGGGACUGGCCA